rnacentral:rRNA from 1 species
CCUACGGGUGGCAGCAGUGGGGAAUAUUGGACAAUGGGCGAAAGCCUGAUCCAGCCAUGCCGCGUGUGUGAAGAAGGCCUUCGGGUUGUAAAGCACUUUCAGUGGGGAAGAAAGCCUUGGGGCUAAUACCCUCGAGGAAGGACAUCACCCACAGAAGAAGCACCGGCUAGCUCCGUGCCAGCAGCCGCGGUAAUACGGAGGGUGCGAGCGUUAAUCGGAAUUACUGGGCGUAAAGCGCGCGUAGGCGGUCUGAUAAGCCGGUUGUGAAAGCCCCGGGCUCAACCUGGGAACGGCAUCCGGAACUGUCAGGCUAGAGUGCAGGAGAGGAAGGUAGAAUUCCCGGUGUAGCGGUGAAAUGCGUAGAGAUCGGGAGGAAUACCAGUGGCGAAGGCGGCCUUCUGGACUGACACUGACGCUGAGGUGCGAAAGCGUGGGUAGCAAACAGGAUUAGAUACCCCUGUAGUC